UUUUUUUUUUUUUUUUGUUAUAUCUUCAUCCAUAGAUUUUUUUCCCCCAAUUCAACAAAAAUUUAUUGAGCACCGACUGUGUCCACAGGAACUCCCUAGGCUUUCAGUUGGGGCACUACAAUGAAUCGGUCAUGAUUCCCCAGGUGUCCCCUGAAACAUCCUUUUUUUGUUUGUUUAAUUGUCUUUCCACUGGAGUUUAAUCGUUCUGCAAGCAGGGAUUUCUGCUUUGUCUAUCGUUGUGUCUCAAGGGUUUAGGGCAGCAUGUGUCAUCAGUCGGUCUUCAGUGCGUACCUGUGGCUGAGUGGACGAAUGGCUGUGGGAGAGGUGCUUAUGGGGGCUUCCCGCUUCCUCUGGGCACUCGGGAGCCCACCUUGCAGCUUAGUCCCAAACCUCCUCGAUCUCAGGACUCUAUGUUUUUAGGGCCUCUGCUGGGAGAAGCAGCCCUCUCCCGGAACAGCCAGUGUCUCCUGACUCAGGGACUGGGACCUGAGGAGUACCCACACAGGCCCAGGCCAGCUCUUCCCUUUCCUGUGCCGGUUGGGGGCAGGAGGGCACAUCUGAAAAGUGCUGAACACUCUAAACAGUUGGUCAGUAGUUCAACCUCUCUGCCAGCAUAUUCUCAUAAAGGGAAAAGCAAGAGAGGUGGGGUUGAUGCCACGUUUUCUGUCUAAUCUACCAUGUAUCCACUGGGGCAAAGGAUUGUGGAAGUGAAGAAAAAGAUGGGAGGAGGGGCAGGGACUGGUUAGGCAGUUGGAAUAAGUGAGUUUAUCCAGAAAGGCAGUGAUUCAGGCUGGUACAAAAUCACAAUGCUGACUUAACGUGCUGUGCUUUGUUUGCACUGUGGUAUCUGACAGUAUUUUUAUCUCCUAUGGUAUUUUGUUAAACUUAUGUAUGUAUGUAUUCAUUUUUAGAGACAGGGUCUUCUAUGUUGCCCAGGCUGGCCUUGAACUCCUGGGCUCAAGGGAUCCUCUUGCCUUAGUUUCCUGAGUAGCUGGGGCUACAGGUGCGUACCACCACACACAGCCAUGCAAUUAUUUUAAUCCUUAUCUGUAUGGGAGCUCUUACAUGGCUAUAGUUUCCAGAAAUUUUGGAAUUGAGAACGUGUAUCCAAUUCUUGGCCAUCGAUUCUCAGUGUAGCUCCUAACUGCGCUGUGUGAACAUUGGUCUCUACUGAGCUCUGCAGUUGGUGUGUGAUUUUUGGGUGCUAUAGCUGGGUAUUUUUCAGACACCAGAAGCAAGGCUAGUUAGAAACACCUUUACCUUUGUAACCUGCUGCCAAAAUCAUUUAUUAAGUGCACACUGGGAGGAGAAAGGAAAGUUAAAUGGUCCUGGCCCUCUGCAGCUACUACAUAAGACAAGCAAUAAUGACAGAGACUUCCAGGGAAUAAAAUGCAGAACAUUACGACUGCUUCAUUAUAUGUGAGCAGAGAAGUGUUACGAGCUAAUGACCAUCAGUAGUGACAAACUGGAUGCAGAAAUUAAUUUAUUCAUGGAGUCUAAUAAGUUUAUUAAUAAUUCUGAGUUAGAUAUUUACAAAGCACUCAGUAACAUU
ensembl:lncRNA